rnacentral:rRNA from 1 species
UACGUAGGGAGCAAGCGUUGUCCGGAAUCAUUGGGCGUAAAGCGCGUGUAGGCGGCUUCGUAAGUCCGUUGUGAAAGUCCAGGGCUCAACCCUGGAAUGCCGAUGGAUACUGCGGAGCUAGAGUCCGGAAGAGGCGAGUGGAAUUCCUGGUGUAGCGGUGAAAUGCGCAGAUAUCAGGAGGAACACCAAUGGCGAAGGCAGCUCGCUGGGACGGUACUGACGCUGAGACGCGAAAGCGUGGGGAGCAAACAGG